GUAGGUGGCAAGCGUUGUCCGGAAUUAUUGGGCGUAAAGCGCGCGCAGGCGGUUCUUUAAGUCUGAUGUGAAAGCCCACGGCUCAACCGUGGAGGGUCAUUGGAAACUGGAGAACUUGAGUACAGAAGAGGAAAGCGGAAUUCCACGUGUAGCGGUGAAAUGCGUAGAGAUGUGGAGGAACACCAGUGGCGAAGGCGGCUUUCUGGUCUGUAACUGACGCUGAGGCGCGAAAGCGUGGGGAGCAAACAGGGAUUAGAUACCCUGGUAGUCCACGCCGUAAACGAUGAGUGCUAAGUGUUAGGGGGUUUCCGCCCCCUUAGUGCUGCAACUAACGCAUUAAGCACUCCGCCUGGGGAUACGGCCGCAAGGCUG
rnacentral:rRNA from 1 species